UGCAAGUCGAGCGCUACCUUCGGGUGGAGCGGCGGACGGGUUAGUAACGCGUGGGAACGUACCCAGAUCUAAGGAAUAGCCACUGGAAACGGUGAGUAAUACCUUAUACGCCCUUCGGGGGAAAGAUUUAUCGGAUUUGGAUCGGCCCGCGUUAGAUUAGAUAGUUGGUGGGGUAAUGGCCUACCAAGUCUACGAUCUAUAGCUGGUUUUAGAGGAUGAUCAGCAACACUGGGACUGAGACACGGCCCAGACUCCUACGGGAGGCAGCAGUGGGGAAUCUUGGACAAUGGGCGCAAGCCUGAUCCAGCCAUGCCGCGUGAGUGAUGAAGGCCUUAGGGUCGUAAAGCUCUUUCGCCAGAGAUGAUAAUGACAGUAUCUGGUAAAGAAACCCCGGCUAACUCCGUGCCAGCAGCCGCGGUAAUACGGAGGGGGUUAGCGUUGUUCGGAAUUACUGGGCGUAAAGCGUACGUAGGCGGAUUAGUCAGUCAGAGGUGAAAUCCCAGGGCUCAACCCUGGAACUGCCUUUGAUACUGCUAGUCUUGAGUUCGAGAGAGGUGAGUGGAAUUCCAAGUGUAGAGGUGAAAUUCGUAGAUAUUUGGAGGAACACCAGUGGCGAAGGCGGCUCACUGGCUCGAUACUGACGCUGAGGUACGAAAGUGUGGGGGAGCAAACACGAUUAUAUACCCUGGUAGUCCACACCGUA
rnacentral:rRNA from 1 species